rnacentral:rRNA from 1 species
AUUGAACGCUGGCGGCAGGCUUAACACAUGCAAGUCGAACGAGUGGCGGACGGGUGAGUAAUGCCUGGGAAACUGGCUGAUGGAGGGGGAUAACGACGGGAAACUGUCGCUAAUACCGCGUACCAUCGGAUGUGCCCAGGUGGGAUUAGGUAGUAGGUGGGGUAAUGGUUCACCAAGCCGACGAUCCCUAGCUGGUCUGAGAGGCUGACCAGCCACACGGGAACUGAGACACGGCCCAGACUCCGACGGGAGGCAGCAGUGGGGAAUAUUAGGCAAUGGGGGCAAUCCUGACGCAGCCAUGCCGCGUGAGUGAAGAAGGCCUUCGGGUUGUAAAGUUCUUUCGGUGGCGAGGCGUUACGCACAGAAGAAGCACCGGAUAACUACGUGCCAGCAGCCGCGGUAAUAC